rnacentral:rRNA from 1 species
ACAGAGGUCCCGAGCGUUGUUCGGAUUCACUGGGCGUAAAGGGUGCGCAGGUGGCCGGGUAAGUCUGAUGUGAAAUCUCGGAGCUUAACUCCGAAACGGCAUUGGAUACUAUCCGGCUGGAGGGUCGGAGGGGGGACUGGAAUUCUCGGUGUAGCAGUGAAAUGCGUAGAUAUCGAGAGGAACACCAGUGGCGAAGGCGAGUCCCUGGACGACUCCUGACACUGAGGCACGAAAGCUAGGGGAGCAAACAGGAUUAGAUACCCUGGUAGUCCUAGCCGUAAACGGUGCGUAUUUGCUGUAAAAGGAAUCGACCCCUUUUGUGGCGUAGCUAACGCGUUAAAUACGCCGCCUGGGAAGUACGGUCGCAAGAUUA